CCAAUAGCGUAUAUUAAAGUUGUUGCAGUUAAAAAGCUCGUAGUUGAAUUUCGGGGUCAGUAGAUUGGUCAUGCCUCCGGUAUGCACUGGUCUUACUGGCUCCUCCUUCCUGAUGAACCGUAAUGCCAUUAAUUUGAUGUUGCGGGGAGACUGGACUGUUACUUUGAAAAAAUUAGAGUGUUUAAGGCAGGCUAACGCUUGAAUACAUUAGCAUGGAAUAAUGAAAUAGGACGUUCGAUCUUAUUUUGUUGGUUUCUAAGAUUGACGUAAUGAUUAAUAGGGAUAGUUGGGGGCAUUAGUAUUCAAUUGUCAGAGGUGAAAUUCUUGGGUUUAUUGAAGACUAACUACUGCGAAAGCAUUUGCCAAGGAUGUUUUCAUUAAUCAAGAACGAAAGUUAGGGGAUCGAAGACGAUCAGAUACCGUCGUAGUCUUAACCAUAAACUAUGCCGACUAGGGAUCGGAUGAUGUUAAUUUUUUAAUGACUCAUUCGGCGCCUUACG
rnacentral:rRNA from 1 species